rnacentral:rRNA from 1 species
GUUGAUUAGCUUGUUAUUUAUUUUUGUGGUGUUAAGAUUUAUUUAUUGAAGAAUCAUUUUGGUUAUUGUAUUUUUGUGAUUUAAUUUUUUUUACUAUAGGUUAUUUGUACUGUAAAGGGUCGAUUGGUUUUAAUGUUUUUUUGGAAGCUGAUUUUGUUUGUCGUACCUUGUGUAUCAGGGUUCAUUAAAUUUUAUUAUUUAUUUUUAUUUCCCGAUUCUGAGGGAGUUAAUGAUUUAUGUUAGUUGCUGUUUCAUUAGCAUUAAUAAUAGGUUGUUGGUAAUGAAAUGUUAUUCGUCUUUAGUGGUUUCUGGUUUUUCGAGAAAUGAAUUUAAUUCAUACGUCUUAUAUAAUUUCUGUAGUUGUUCUAUUUAUUUUUAUUUGAUGUUAAGAUUAAGGGGGAUUAGCUCUUUAUUUUAUAUUUAUAAUUGGUUUAGUUUUAGUUAAUUUUGUGGAUUUUAUAGUGAUUUUCAAUUUGAUUAUGUUAAAAUUUUAUUUGUUGUUUUAUUUCUUUUUUGUUAUUUAAUUUAUUUAUUGAAAUGUUUUCUUUAUCUUUUUUUGUGUAGUAAUUAUUGUGUAAUUAGUAAAUCUUGCUUUUGUUCUGUUAUUGAGAGUUUGGUGGAUAAUUUCUUUUUAGGAAUUCGGCAAAGAUAUCAUGUCCGCCUGUUUAACAAAAACAUCUUUUCUUGUUAGUUUUUGAAGUAUGGUCUGCCCACUGACUUGUUUAGUUGAAGGGCCGCGGUAUUUUGACCGUGCAAAGGUAGCAUAAUCAUUAGUUCUUUAAUUGUGAUCUGGUAUGAAUGGCUUGACGAGACAUGUACUGUCUUAGGAGUAUUGGUUUGUUGAAUUUGGUUUUUAAGUUAAAAUUCUUAAAUGUUUUUAUGGGACGAGAAGACCCUAUAGAGUUUGACAUUUAGUUCUUGUUGUUUAUUAUUUGUUUGUUUGUUUUUUGUAAUAAGAUUAAUGUUUUGUUGGGGUGAUGGGAGGAAUAUUUUCAACUCCUCUUUGUUUUUGUAUAUUUAUUUAUAUUUGUUUUGAUCCAUUUAUUUUGAUUAUAAGAUUAAAUUACCUUAGGGAUAACAGCGUUAUCUCCCUUGAGAGUUCUUAUUGGCAGGGAGGUUUGCGACCUCGAUGUUGGAUUAAGGUUAAAUUUUUGGUGCAGGAGCUGAAAUGAUUAGGUCUGUUCGACCUUUAAAAUCUUACAUGAUCUGAGUUCAGACCGGCGUGAGCCAGGUUGGUUUCUAUCUAUAAAUUGGUUUUUAUACCUUAGUACGAGAGGACCGGGUAUUUGGAAUAAUUUUGUUUUAUAUGAUUUUCAUUAAUAUGUUUACUAUUUUGGCAGAUAAGUGCAUUGGAUUUAGAAUCUAUUAA